UGGCAACCCACUCAGAUUCCGUUUCAUAGUGUGGAGGUUUUGUUCUUUCACUCUGCAGUAAAUCUUACUGCUGCUCAGUGUUUGGGUCUGUGCUACCUUUAUGAGCUGUAACACUCACGGUGGAAGCCUGCAGUCUCACUCCUGAGGCCAGGGAGACCACGAACCCACCAGGAGGAAUGAACAACUCCGGAGGCGCAGACUUAAGAGCUGUAACACUCACCGCGAAGGUCUGUAGUUUCACUUUUGAACCAGCGAGACCAUGAACCCGCCAGAAAGAAAAAACUGCCAACACAGCCGGACAUCAGAAGGAACAAACUGGGGACACGCUGCCUUUAAGAAACAUAACAGGCACCGUGAGGGUCCACGGCUUCAUUCUUGAAGUUAGUGAGACCAAGAACCCACCUAAUCCCGGGCACAAAACCACCUCAAUCUCCCAAAGACCGAAAGCCCUGGUGUCGCUGGGACCAGAGUUCUGGAGGCUGGAUGUCCAAGAUGAAGGCACUGCUAAACUCUGCAUCUGGAGAGGGUGGUUUCCUGAUUCACGGACAAUGUCUCCUCCCUGUGUCCUCACAUGGCCUCUACUCUGUGCGCACC
rnacentral:lncRNA from 10 species